UCGGGAAGUCGGAUAGUUGCUGCUACGUGUUUACGCGGGAGAGGAAAGUCCGGACUUCACGGGAAAACGGCGCCGGGUAACGCCCGGGAGUGGCUCGCAUCAAGCGGGUUAUUACGGAUAGUGCUGAAGAAAUUUAAACUACCCGAUUUUAUCGGGAAAAGGUGAGAAGGUGCGGUAAGAGCGCACCGCAAUGUCCGGUAACGGCAUUGGCAAGGUAAACCCCGCCGGAAGCAAAACCAAAUAGGGACUGUGUUUCAGGGUCUUGGCCCUGAAGGUGUUUCCCGCACCAGCAGUCCGGGUAGGUUGCUCGAGGUUAUUGGUAACAAUGACCCUAGAUGAAUGGCUAUCGAUAAGAAGCAUGCUUCUUUGAACAGAAUCCGGCUUACAGAUUUUCCGAAAAG
rnacentral:RNase_P_RNA from 1 species